AUGGCGCCCCUAAAGAAACUCUUCCAUAUCUCGCUUCUCUUGCUAGUAUGCGCAGCCAAGGCGACCAAUCUGGAAGCGGAAGCACUUCUCCGAUGGAAGUCCACUUUGGUUGGUGCCAACUCGCUGUCCUCAUGGUCGACCACGAAUUCCACCUGCUCUUGGUUCGGCGUCACCUGUGACGCUGCCGGACAUGUUACGGAGCUCAGCCUUCCCAACGCCGGCCUCAACGGUACGCUCGAUUACUUGUAUUCGGCAGCCCUCCGGAACCUCACCAAGAUCAAACUCAACAACAACAAUCUUGUUGGCGCCAUCCCGGCAAACAUAUCCAUGUUGCUCACCCUCACCUUUCUGGACUUGAGCAGCAACAAUCUUGUUGGCUUCAUACCUCGCUCAUUCUCCAGGCUCCAAAAUCUCAAGGCACUGCGGCUCUCGGCAAAUAAUCUCGCAGGAGGAAUCCUAGAGGAGCUGGGGAUGAUAUCUGGGUUGCGGAAUCUUGUACUGUACAGCAACUCGAGCAGUGUAUCAGUGCUGAGCUGCUGUUGUUAUCUGACUGGUUGGUGCAUUAUGAGCCACCGUGUUGUGUAUGGCCUGCCUGAGAAGUGGUGA
rnacentral:rRNA from 1 species